AAGCGGUGGAUGAUGUGGUUUAAUUCGAUGCAACGCGAAAACUUACCCACCUUGACAUGUACGGAAGCCUUUAGAGAUAGAGGCGUGCUCGAAAGAGGGCCGUAACACAGGUGCUGCAUGGCUGUCGUCAGCUCGUGUCGUGAGAUGUUGGGUUAAGUCCCGCAACGAGCGCAACCCUUGUCAUUAGUUGCUACAUUCAGUUGGGCACUCUAAUGAGACUGCCGGUGACAAGCCGGAGGAAGGUGGGGAUGACGUCAAGUCCUCAUGGCCCUUAUAGGUGGGGCUACACACGUCAUACAAUGGCUGGUACAAAGGGUUGCCAACCCGCGAGGGGGAGCUAAUCCCAUAAAGCCAGUCGUAGUCCGGAUCGUAGUCUGCAACUCGACUACGUGAAGUCGGAAUCGCUAGUAAUCGUGGAUCAGAAUGUCACGGUGAAUACGUUCCCGGGUCUU
rnacentral:rRNA from 1 species